UACGAAGGGGGCUAGCGUUGUUCGGAAUUACUGGGCGUAAAGCGUAUGCAGGCGGAUCGUUAAGUCGAACGUGAAAUCCCCGGGCUCAACCCGGGAACUGCGUCCGAUACUGGCAGGCUUGAAUCCGGGAGAGGGAUGCGGAAUUCCAGGUGUAGCGGUGGAAUGCGCAGAUAUCAGGAGGAACACCGGUGGCGAAGGCGGGUCUCUGGGCCGAUACUGGCGCUGAGGAGCGAAAGCGUGGGGAGCGAACAGG
rnacentral:rRNA from 1 species